GCAAUUGUAGUUUAAAAAAAACACUAGGUUGUGGUCCUAGAAAUAAGAGUUAGAUUCUCUUCAAUUGCC
rnacentral:tRNA from 1 species